CCUGUUGUGAAUUGGAUCAGGUCCAUUAGGAACUCUUCUCUUGCUUACAAAGAUCAUUUCAGAUUUUGAAUGCCUCUUCAUCAUACUAACCAACUUUAACUGCUUUGACAUCGCAUUCACUCUCAAUGGAACUACCAUAACCGUCUUCUUCGCUUGUCGAUGAAGACGGUUAGCCGAUAUUGCUGUUAGCAUCAACCAUGUAACUAAUAUGAAUCCCAAAAUUCCAAGAAUCAACCUUCCCCUGCCUACACCACCACUACCCAUAUUUAUUUUUUCUCAAUUUUCUUUUUCUUUUCUCUUCUCUUAUGACUCUUUACUAAGUGGCAAUAUCUUGCAACUAAAGAAGCUUAAGAACAACAACAAUAAUAUCAUCUUGGCAUUGAUGAUCACUAGCUACAACAAUGAUAAUUAAAGAAAGAAAAGAAACAGAGAAUUAUAUAGGAAAGGAGUAAGGACAAAAUAAUGAAUUGGUUCCUAA
rnacentral:lncRNA from 1 species